rnacentral:misc_RNA from 1 species
GGAACUUCUCAUUUUGGAUUCUGCUAAUAGUAAUCUUUACAAGAUCUCUUCAUCUUUGUCUCAAUACACUAGACCUAGGUUGGUGGCUGGAUCAGCUGAUGGAUACUCUGGACAUGUUGACGGAAAAUUGCGGGAGGCAAGAAUGAACCAUCCGAAAGGUCUAACUGUUGAUGACAGAGGGAACAUCUAUGUGGCAGAUACUGAUAACAUGGUAAUUAGGAAGAUAAGUGAUGCAGGAACGGUCACGACAAUUGCUGGUGGUAAAUGGAGCCGUGGAGGUGGGCAUGUUGAUGGACCAAGUGAAGAUGCAAAAUUCUCUAAUGAUUUUGAUGUGGUCUUUAUGGGAAGCAGUUGUUCCCUGCUUGUCAUAGACAGGGGAAACAAAGCAAUACGGGAGAUCCAACUUCAUUUCGAAGACUGUGCUUAUCAGUAUGAUAGUGGUUUUCCUCUAGGUAUAGCUGUGCUUUUGGCUGCUGGUUUCUUUGGUUACAUGCUAGCAUUGCUACAACGAAGGGUCGGUACCAUGGUAUCCCCCGAAGAGAACGCAUUCAUUUUCACCGAUAAUUAUGAGAAGCCAGUGAAAUCAUCAGUAAGGCCUCCCCUAAUUCCAACUGAAGGUGAGGUGGAGAAGCAAGAAGAAAGCAUGUUUGGAUCUCUAGGAAAUCUAAUCACGCGUACUGGAGCAUCAGUUUCGGAAAUUUUAGGAGGUGUAUUUCCAAUGUUCAGAAGGUUGCCUUUGAACCAUCACUAUCAACAGCAACAGCAGUAUCAGCAACAACAAUAUCAGCAACAGCAGUAUCAGCAGCACACAUGGCCGGUUCAGGACAGCGUUGUAGUACCAAAAGAAGAUGAACCCCCAUCCAUUGAACCCAGAACUCCUACUCCACGAAAGACCUAUGCAUUCAUGUCCAAAGAUUCUGAAAAGAUGCAACAGCUGAAACAAAGCCGUGCUUUUUAUGGUGGUGGAUGGAGUUCUGACUUUCAACAACACCAACAGCAGACUCAGAAGCACCUACAACAUCAUCAAUAUCAUUCAUCUGGACCUCAAACAUUCUACGAGCAAAGCGCAGAUAAUACAAAGGAGGUAGUUUUCGGAGCAAUUCAAGAGCAAGGGCAACGCGAGGCAAUGAUUAUAAAGCCUUUGGACCAUGCAAAUUCUGUUUAUGAUCGACAUAAUGCUCGUUCUCGGUUCAACUCUGCUGGAUAUUCUCAAGGCUAUUGAUCUAUUCAUAUACAGAAACUUCAAAGGUUCUUUAAAUUGCUUGGUGAUGGCUUAGACAUGAGAAAUAUAUCAUGCAUUAACAGCCAUCAUAGUACAAAUUUUGGAGAGUGG